GACGAACGCUGGCGGCGUGCUUAACACAUGCAAGUCGAACGGUAAGGCCCUUCGGGGUACACGAGUGGCGAACGGGUGAGUAACACGUGGGUGAUCUGCCCUGCACUUCGGGAUAAGCCUGGGAAACUGGGUCUAAUACCGGAGAGGACCACUGCCUGCAUGGGUGGGGGUGGAAAGCUUUUGCGGUGUGGGAUGGGCCCGCGGCCUAUCAGGUUGUUGGUGGGGUGAUGGCCUACAAAGGCGACGACGGGUAGCCGGCCUGAGAGGGUGACCGGCCACACUGGGACUGAGAUACGGCCCAGACUCCUACGGGAGGCAGCAGUGGGGAAUAUUGCACAAUGGGCGCAAGCCUGAUGCAGCGACGCCGCGUGAGGGAUGACGGCCUUCGGGUUGUAAACCUCUUUCAGCACCGACGAAGCGCAAGUGACGGUAGGUGCAGAAGAAGGACCGGCCAACUACGUGCCAGCAGCCGCCGUAA
rnacentral:rRNA from 1 species